GCCUCUCUCACGGAAAACUGUAACUUGGUGCUAAAAAAGAUAGGCUUGAAUGAAAUGUACCCAGGGAUGCAGAAGUGUGGAAGACUGGAAAAGACAAAAGAGCUGUCUGCAGUAAUAAUGAGUGACUCCACUGGGAAGUGAUUUACACAGAACACACUUCACUUGUUGCAGACAGGAGCUCUGUACUGGGCUAGAGAGGGAAGGAGAAGAAAGGCUUGUUGUUCAGAUCAUUACAAAUAAACACUUUACUGGUACUUCAACCAGGAGGACUAGCCUGACGGUGCUAGUAACAGAGAAGAAAUCAAAGACUGGAAGGUGAAGACCUCAGUGGCAGCUCAGAACUAAAUCAUAUGAACUGAGGGGUUUCCAGGUUUUUGAACACAAAAAUAAACUUAGCAGCUAAGGAAAUGUUCUUCUGUCCCUAGUGUAAAAUUUGCUUUAAAAUGAAGCAGAGGGAGAGAGGGGUUGGAUAUGGAGUCUCCUGGGAUAGUUAGCAGAGAUUUUU
rnacentral:lncRNA from 1 species